GCAUGGGUGGUUCAGUGGUAGAAUUCUUGCCUACCAUGCUGGGGACCCAGGUUCGAUUCCUGGUAAAUGCA